GACGAACGCUGGCGGCGUGCUUAACACAUGCAAGUCGAACGAUGAAGCUGGAGCUUGCUCCGGUGGAUUAGUGGCGAACGGGUGAGUAACACGUGAGCAAUCUGCCCUUGACUCUGGGAUAACUGCGGGAAACUGUAGCUAAUACCGGAUAUUUUUCCCUGGUGGGCAUCCACUGGGGAAGAAGAAUUUCGGUCAAGGAUGAGCUCGCGGCCUAUCAGCUAGUUGGUGAGGUAAUGGCUCACCAAGGCGACGACGGGUAGCCGGCCUGAGAGGGUGACCGGCCACACUGGGACUGAGACACGGCCCAGACUCCUACGGGAGGCAGCAGUGGGGAAUAUUGGGCAAUGGACGCAAGUCUGAUCCAGCCAUUCCGCGUGCAGGAUGAAGGCCCUCGGGUUGUAAACUGCUUUUGUACGGAACGAAAAGGUUUCUAUUAAUACUAGAGCUCAUGACGGUACCGUAAGAAUAAGCACCGGCUAACUACGUGCCAGCAG
rnacentral:rRNA from 1 species